rnacentral:rRNA from 1 species
AAGUCGGAGAAUCUGGUUUGACUCUCCCUCGCCGGCGGCCGGCGCCGUGCUCCCGCAGCGGCGCAGCCCCCGUGUCCAACUCCAACAUCUACGCCCCGUCGAGUCACGUGCCGUGCCCGCACGAGCACCUGCCCCUUAUCCCUGGCCGCGCUCCGCGCUACCGCGGCGAUCGGGCGUCCACUGCCCAGUCGCGCACCUUCCCUCGCCGUACGAAUAUGGCCCCUAUUCCCGCUCCUAUCGCGCGCCUCCCCCUCUUCCCUCGCCGUGUCCACACCCCCCCUCCCUCAUCCCCGACCAUCAGUACCGGCGGAGGCACGACACACCGCGCGCACGAGGACGCCGCAGCGGAUCGGAGGAGUGGAUCUGGGGGGAAGGGAGACGGCGCGGGGUAGCAGCACAUCACUCCGGAGCACGGGGCGACUGGCGCGGCGGGCGCCAUGGCUAAAAAGGGCACGGAUAAGGGGGCGUUCUUCACGGAGUACGGCGAGGCGACCCGGUACCAGGUCGGCGAAGUGGUCGGCAAAGGCAGCUACGGCGUUGUGGCGUCUGCCGUCGACACCCACACCGGCGAGCCCGUCGCCAUCAAAAAGAUCGACGACGUCUUCGAGCAUGUCGCCGACGCCACCCGCAUUCUCCGCGAGAUCAAGCUGCUCCGCCUUCUGCGCCAUCCAGACAUCGUCCAGAUCAAGCACAUCAUGCUCCCGCCGUCGCGCCGCGAGUUCCGUGACAUCUACAUUAUCUUCGAGCUCAUGGAGUCCGACCUCCACCAGGUCAUCAAGGCCAACGACGACCUCAGCCCGGAGAACCAUCAGUUCUUUUUCUACCAGCUGCUUCGUGGGAUGAAGUACAUACACGCUGCCAAUGUCUUCCACCGGGACCUCAAGCCCAAGAACAUUCUAGCCAAUGCAGAUUGCAAGCUCAAGAUUUGCGACUUCGGCCUUGCUCGGGUUUCCUUCAACGACACCCCUUCUGCGAUAUUCUGGACGGAUUAUGUAGCAACAAGGUGGUAUCGUGCUCCAGAAUUAUGUGGCUCCUUCUUUUCAAAGUAUACUCCUGCAAUUGAUAUUUGGAGCAUAGGAUGUAUAUUUGCCGAAAUGCUUACAGGGAGGCCGCUCUUUCCUGGCAAAAAUGUGGUACAUCAAUUGGAUCUCAUGACUGAUCUACUCGGCACUCCUUCGGCAGAAUCUAUUUCUAGGAUUCGAAACGAAAAAGCUCGGCGAUAUUUGGGAAACAUGAAAAAAAAGCAUCCAAUACCUUUUUCUCAGAAGUUUCCCGGUGUAGACCCCAUGGCACUCCAUUUGCUUGAGCGUCUUCUUGCUUUUGAUCCCACAGAUCGGCCAACCGCUGCAGAGGCCUUGGCAGACCCAUACUUUACUGGAUUGGCAAAUUCUGAGCUCGAACCCACAACGCAACCCAUCUCGAGACUUGAGUUUGAGUUUGAGAGAAGGAAGCUGGCCAGAGAGGAUGUACGUGAAUUAAUUUACAGAGAGAUUUUAGAGUACCAUCCUCAGAUGUUGCAUGAGUAUCUUCGUGGUGGAGAUCAGGCAAACUUUCUAUACCCAAGUGGGGUGGAUCGUUUCAAGAGGCAAUUUGUUCAUCUCGAAGAAAUCGGUGCUAAGGGUGAAAAGACUAGCCCGCAGCUGCGGCAGCAUGCUUCCUUACCAAGGGAAAGAGUUAUCGGCAGCAGUGAUGAGCCUGAAAAGCCAAAUGCAGAUUACUGUAUAAAAUUGCAUGUAGGUGAGGUACCAGGUCACACAUCGGUGACAGAUGGCCUUAACAAGCCACUGUUGAACACUCGAAACUUCUUGAAGAGCGAAAGCAUCGGUGCCUCCAAGUGCAUCGUCGUCAAAGAAAAGCGAGAAAAAGAUGAGGAAUCUAUGUCUGACUAUAUGCAUGAAGCAUGAAGAACAUCUGAUGAGGAACCGAAAAGGACUGCUCAACUCAAAAGUUUGUGAUGAUACAGGGGAGACAGAAGCACGUCCGAUCCAUGGGGGCUUCACUUCAGAAUCCCGAGCACACGAAUCAGAUCGAUGAACCACACUGAUGCCGGUGCCGGAUAGUCAUCUCAUUGGUUAGCAGAGCAUAGGAUUUAUUUCAAUUUUUUUGGGCGCAACUUUGAUCGAUGCUCCCAUUCAUGUAACUGGUAGAGUUUAGAAUGUAACCAACAGAGUGUAGAAUGUAACCAGCAUAUACUGGAGUAGAGUACAUGACUCGACUUCUUAUUACUCGUGCAAUGCUUUCUUAC